rnacentral:lncRNA from 1 species
AAACAUCCUGCUCUAGUGGCAGAUGAGUCACACACACCACGCCAGCAUCCCAUCAUCUCUGUUCAAGCUUGGCAGAAAUAUGUGGGCAGAGGCAGCAGGUGAGUAAUGGGGUCACUGGGGAGCAGAACACUGAUUUAUAGAUGGGCUUUCAUUACCCAGAAGAGAUCUCUCUAUUCAACUCCUCUGAAAUUUCAUCUACGAGUACCUUAAAGAACCCUUUUCUAUCAUGGAGCUGCCUAACACAGCACACCUCUUUUCACAGAUUAUCAACAGAAAUUGUUAUGUCCUAUAUCUGAGUCCUAUACUAAAACAAUAGCUGAAACUUUUAUAUUUUAUGUAUGUGUGAAAACACAAAGGCAGACACAGGGCUCUGCCUGAGGUUUUUUGGAAACACCACACCAAUAUAUAUGGGUCCAAAACAUCAGGGAAUCAGACAGAAAAAAGACAGAUGAGAAAACACUAUCUUUCCAUCCAUGUUUUCUUUAACCUUCACAAUCUUGAAAAGGCAUAUAUGUAGAGCAACGAGACUGUUCUUACCCAUGCACCUUCACCUUCCUUUGAUUUAUACAACAAACAGCCAGUUAACCUUAACCAGCUUUCCUGUUUUGUUGUCAUUGUUGUUUGUUUUUGUUUGUUUGUUUCAUUGGAGGUUAUUAGGUUUUGAUGAACAGACAUCUAAAAUGACCAAGGCUGAUUGUGAUAUCCGAAGUCUCCUAACUCUAAUUUCUAAAUGCCAUAGUGAUUAGAAUGCACCACAAUGCCCAGCUCCUUUCUGUGUUUUAUCAAAACUAAUGUUGGUGUCUCAGUGAGUCUGAUGUCAGCCUUUAUUCAUUAUCUGAUUAAUUAGAACAAUCUAACAUACUAGAGAAAUCCUGUUAAUUAUUUUCCUCUAAAGUUUUUGCUCCAUACAUGAAAUUAAUCUUGAGUGUCACUAUAUUGGAUUGUGAUGCUCCUAAGAAAUUAGCACAGAGUCCCUGUGGUAGAGACACAACUAAAUCAGGGAGAAGAAAGCUACAUACUAGCAGGAGUGUUUGCAAAAACACGGUAUCAAAAAUGUAAGGGUCUCUUAAAAUCUACCAAGAAGAAAUCCAAUAAUUCAAUGAAAAGUCAAACAUGAACAGACAUCUCAUCAAAGAAGACACACAAAUAUAAAUCUGUGUGUGAAAAGUUGUGCAGUUUGUCAUCGUGGAAGUGCAAACUAGAGCCAGAUUCCACAGUGCUCCCUGGAGUGGCUCAACUCCAAAAGACAAAGAAGCUGACAGUACACUUAUGGUGAGCAUCUGGGAUGCAGAAACACUAACCCAUUGCUGACUGGGAUUCGAAGCAACACAGUCACUUUGGAAGACAGUUUGGCAGUCUGUCAAAGCUAAACACAACAUUGCCAUAUGAUCCAGCACUCACACUCCUAGUUAUUAACCAACUGAUCUGAAAAACUCAUGUCCACACACAUAUUGUACAUGAGAAUGGUUACAAAACUUUUACUCAUAAUCAGUAAACACUCUAACAACCAAUAUUUCUCUCCACCAGGAAUAGGGGAAAGGAUAAACUGCUACAUUCAUGUAAACUGAAUACUUUUUAACUACAAAAUAGAAUGUCCAGAACACACAUAAAUAUGAAAUAUGGAUGUAAUAUAUAUAUUACAAUAUAUGUACAUUACAUACAAAUGUGUGUGCAUACAUUCAUACAUACAAGCAUACAUACAUACUAAAGGACUACUUUGGGUGUAAUUUCCUUUAUGUAAUAUUGUGAGAAAGGCAAAACUGUAAACAUUGUUAUUGUUAGUGUCAGGGUUUUAGAGACAUAGAAUCUAGAACAGGUUAGUCCUUUUGGGGACCAUGAACUGUGGUGUAUGAUAAUUGUAACAGUAAGCUGUGCUGAGUCCUGGGCCGUACUUGAAGCAACCCUCGACGCAUCUGGUUUUGAACUCACCUCUCGUCGAGUCCCAUCUGCCUUUUAAACUUCAAAUCUUAAACCAGAGAAGAUCAGGACUUCACCAUCCAUCCAUACCUGAAGCGAAGGCCCCAACAUUUCAUCCCAAAUGUCCACACCCACAGCAUAUUGGAGAGGGAGCAGGAGAUCAGAAAGGCAGUUUAUUUGGAGCCACUGAAGGCUGUCUUCACAAUGAUAGAGGAAAUGGCUGCUGAGAGACUGUCAGCCCAAAGAAAAGAAUGGUGGUUUAGGAGGGUCUGCAUAGCUUCAAUCUCAUCCAUCUUACCACGAUUCCCACCCCUGCUUCUGCCAUAACCCUAAAACAGGCACAAGAACAUCAAAGAAGAGAGUGCAAGGCCAGAAGCCCCCUCCUCACAAUGGGAGGGCUCCUAGCUUGCCUCUCCCUCCCUACUGCACGCUUCCCCUCCCAGCUGUUGACCUACACAUUUGCUUUCAAAACAAAGCUUUUGCAGAUGCAGACCACCACACACAUUUCCAAAGAAUGUGCCCAGCCUCAUAGUCUUCACUGAGCCUGUUACACAAUGGAUAAGGAAAAGGGGCAACAAGGCAUGGUGGGGAAUG